UACUUGAAAGCGAAUAAUCGCACUAAGUUUCGGCCUUAGCUAUGAGAAUUUUUUUUGUUUCUCUCAAGUAG
rnacentral:tRNA from 1 species